UACGUAGGGGGCAAGCGUUGUCCGGAAUCAUUGGGCGUAAAGCGCGUGUAGGCGGCUCGGUAAGUCUGCUGUGAAAGUCCAGGGCUCAACCCUGGGAUGCCGGUGGAUACUGUCGAGCUCGAGUCCGGAAGAGGCGAGUGGAAUUCCUGGUGUAGCGAUGAAAUGCGCAGAUAUCAGGAGGAACACCAAUGGCGAAGGCAGCUCGCUGGGCCGGAACUGACGCUGAGGAGCGAAAGCGUGGGUAGCAAACAGG
rnacentral:rRNA from 1 species